GACGAACCGUGCGAACGUUAUUCGGAAUCACUGGGCUUAAAGGGCGCGUAGGCGGACUCCCAAGUCUGCGGUGAAAGCCUCCAGCUUAACUGGAGAAGUGCCGUGGAUACUGGGAGUCUCGAGGAGGGUAGGGGCAUCUGGAACGUUGGGUGGAGCGGUGAAAUGCGUUGAUAUCCAACGGAACUCCGGUGGCGAAGGCGAGGUGCUGGACCCUUUCUGACGCUGAGGCGCGAAAGCCAGGGGAGCGAACGGG
rnacentral:rRNA from 1 species